AGAAAAUUAGUUAAAAAAUAACGUUAAUUUGUCAAAUUAAAGUUACAUUAGUAUUUUCUG
rnacentral:tRNA from 1 species